rnacentral:rRNA from 1 species
GACGAACGCUGGCGGCGUGCUUAACACAUGCAAGUCGAACGGUGACCUCGAGAGCUUGCUCUUGAGUGAUCAGUGGCGAACGGGUGAGUAACACGUGAGUAACCUGCCCCAGACUCUGGAAUAACCCCGGGAAAUCGGAGCUAAUACCGGAUACGAAGUGGAGCCGCAUGGCUACUACUUGGAAAGUUUUUCGGUCUGGGAUGGACUCGCGGCCCAUCAGCUAGUUGGUGAGGUAACGGCUCACCAAGGCGACGACGGGUAGCCGGCCUGAGAGGGCGACCGGCCACACUGGGACUGAGACACGGCCCAGACUCCGACGGGAGGCAGCAGUGGGGAAUAUUGCACAAUGGGCGAAAGCCUGAUGCAGCGACGCCGCGUGAGGGAUGACGGCCUUCGGGUUGUAAGCCUCUUUCAGCAGGGAAGAAGCGAAAGUGACGGUACCUGCAGAAGAAGCACCGGCUAACUACGUGCCAGCCGCCGCCGUAAAAC